rnacentral:rRNA from 1 species
ACGCUCGACACCUACGGAAGGCAGCAGUUGGGAAUAUUGGACAAUGGAGGGAACUCUGAUCCAGUGACGCCGCGUGAAGGAAGAAGGUCUUCGGAUUGUAAACUUAUUUUAUCAGGGAAGAAAGAAAUGACAGUACCUGAAGAAGAAGGACCGGCUAACUACGUGCAGCAGCCGCGGUAAUCUGAGCGGGCUGGCAAGGC